GUGGUGGUGUAGUGGUUAUCACAUCUGUCUAACACACAGAAGGUCGGUGGUUCGAGCCCGCCCGAGAUCA
rnacentral:tRNA from 1 species